UGGCAAGUCACGACAACGGACGCUGCACCACCCCUCAUAACAGAUUCCACGUGGCGGGCCGCGGUGAUGGCCACGUGUCUGCUCCACCAUCUUCCGCAAUCAAUUCCCCCUGACCAUGGGCGGCCCACUACCAGGCGGUUACAAACAUCGCCAUCAAUCCGUUGCCUCCUCCGCCUAUAAAAGGGAGACCCAGAUACGUUAUUCUUUAAGCUCAUUUUUCUUAUCUCAAAACUCUGCUAAAUUCUCCGUUCGAGCACUCCAUUCUUGUUGAGGCAGAGAACUGACUUGAGUAUCGGAGGGUCUUGCCAGAGCAACCCCACCUCCGGUUUAGACUUCCCUUGCAGGUCCCGGCGGCGACCGCGGCUUCCCCGACUCCAGCUUCUCC
rnacentral:lncRNA from 1 species